GCAUAUAAAUGGCUCCAACUACUAAAAGCUGAGGGAUUUUGUCCACUUAGGACUUGCUGCACAGAUACCAUGCCCUACACACUGCUCUACACACACCACAUUCCCAAGCCUUGGCACCUGUCAGUGACCACCUGCAAUAGCCACCCGUGCCUCUCCAGCUCCAUCCUUCCUGUUCCCACACUCAGCAAAGGGACGGAAACUGAGAAAGCCAGAAGAACCCAGAGCUCGUUAGAAAAUCUAUCAUGGACCUACCCUUGAGCAGGCAAAUGACCAAGGCUGCCCUCCGAAGCACAUCCCGGAGGAACUGGAAGACCUGGGAAACCAUGCUCAUCACACCUCCUCCAGCUUGAUAUCUUCUGAUAUCCUUCGCUAAAAAGGAUCCUUUGUGCUUAUCACAGUAAUGAUAGAAUAUGUAGGUAUCCAAGUGUUCAUUUUCACAAAGUCUCCAGCCCAGUUCAUUAAAAGAUUUCUUCAGGGUCAUCUAAAGGAACCAGAAAGAAUAGAUACAUUCAGAGACUUGAAUUGAACAUUCUUGCAACAAUUGGGUGAUCAAGUUGCCUACAGUUUUUAAAUCACUUGAAUGAAAAACAAAACUAAGCCUAAAGUCUAAAUGACUGUAGUCUACACAGAGAUAAUUUGUUAAGAAUGACUAAAAAUUAGUUAUCUCAAGGUACAAUCACACAAACCCUUACCUCACAAAUUUAUUUAUUUUUUUCCCUCCCAAGGCAGGAUUUCAGUCAUAGUAA